rnacentral:misc_RNA from 1 species
UUGAUUGGUGUGGUUAUAACUGCAAUUGUGCAAUGGUUUCAAGAUCCCAAUUUUGGAAUUACUUGGCCUUUCAUGAAACUUGGAGACCUAGUUGGCUAUUCCUUACUGGCAGGGGGUGUGGGUGGAGCAUGUGUGAGCUUCAAUGGAUGGGCAAUGAAGAAGAGGGGACCAGUUCUAGUGUCCAUGUUUAGCCCCAUUGGAACAGUCAUCUCAGUUGUUCUCUCUGUCAUUACCUUAGGCGAAAGCAUUGGAGUCGGAAGCCUUGCUGGAAUGCUGCUCAUGUU